GGCCUUGUAGUGAAAUUCAUGGUGGGUUGCAAGCUCAUCGAUGUGCGUUAGUGCGUGCCAGGGCCU
rnacentral:tRNA from 1 species